AGGGCAAGUCUGGUGCCAGCAGCCGCGGUAAUUCCAGCUCCAAUAGCGUAUAUUAAAGUUGUUGCAGUUAAAAAGCUCGUAGUUGAAUUUCGGGGUUAGUAGGUUGGUCAUGCCUCAGGUAUGUACUGAUCUCACUGAUUCCUCCUUCCUGAUGAACCGUAAUGCCAUUAAUUUGGUGUUGCGGGGAAACUGGACUGUUACUUUGAAAAAAUUAGAGUGUUUAAAGCAGGCUAACGCUUGAAUACAUUAGCAUGGAAUAAUGAAAUAGGACGUUCGAUCCUAUUUUGUUGGUUUCUAGGAUUGACGUAAUGAUUAAUAGGGAUAGUUGGGGGCAUUAGUAUUCAAUUGUCAGAGGUGAAAUUCUUGGAUUUAUUGAAGACUAACUACUGCGAAAGCAUUUGCCAAGGAUGUUUUCAUUAAUCAAGAACGAGAGUUAGGGGAUCGAAGACGAUCAGAUACCAUCGUAGUCUUAACCAUAAACUAUGCCGACUAGGGAUCGGAUGAUGUUAAUUUUUUAAUGACUCAUUCGGCGCCUUACGGGAA
rnacentral:rRNA from 1 species